rnacentral:rRNA from 1 species
GAGUUUGACCAUGGCUCAGAACGUACGCUGGCGGCACGCCUAACACAUGCAAGUCGAACGAAGUAGCAAUACUUAGUGGCAGACGGGUGAGUAACAUGUAGGUAUCUGCCCUUUGGCCUGGAAUAACACGAGGAAACUUGUGCUAAUACCGGAUAAGUCUUUACGGAGAAAGCUUUAUGCACCAUUGGAUGAGCCUGCACUUGAUUAGUUUGUUGGUGGGGUAAUGGCCUACCAAGACUGUGAUCAAUAGCUGAUUUGAGAGGAUGAUCAGCCACAUUGGGACUGAGACACGGCCCAAACUCCUACGGGAGGCAGCAGUGGGGAAUCUUGCACAAUGGAGGAAACUCUGAUGCAGCGAUGCCGCGUGAGUGAAGAAGGCCCUUGGGUUGUAAAGCUCUUUCGUCGGGGAAGAAAAUGACUGUACCCGAAUAAGAAGGUCCGGCUAACUUCGUGCCAGCAGCCGCGGUAAUACGAAGGGACCUAGCGUAGUUCGGAAUUACUGGGCUUAAAGAGUUCGUAGGUGGUUGAAAAAGUUAGUGGUGAAAUCCCAGAGCUUAACUCUGGAACUGCCAUUAAAACUUUUCAGCUAGAGUAUGAUAGAGGAAAGCAGAAUUUCUAGUGUAGAGGUGAAAUUCGUAGAUAUUAGAAAGAAUACCAAUUGCGAAGGCAGCUUUCUGGAUCAUUACUGACACUGAGGAACGAAAGCAUGGGUAGCGAAGAGGAUUAGAUACCCUCGUAGUCCAUGCCGUAAACGAUGUGUGUUAGACGUUGGAAAUUUAUUUUCAGUGUCGCAGGGAAACCGAUAAACACACCGCCUGGGGAGUACGACCGCAAGGUUAAAACUCAAAUGAAUUGACGGGGACCCGCACAAGUAGUGGAGCAUGUGGUUUAAUUCGAAGAUACGCGCAGAACCUUACCAACACUUGACAUGUUCGUCGCGACUCUAAGAGAUUAGAGUUUUCGGUUCGGCCGGACGAAACACAGGUGCUGCAUGGCUGUCGUCAGCUCGUGUCGUGAGAUGUUGGGUUAAGUCCCGCAACGAGCGCAACCCUCACUUUUAGUUGCCAUCAUUAAGUUGGGCACUCUGAAAGAACUGCCAGUGAUAAGCUGGAGGAAGGUGGGGAUGACGUCAAGUCCUCAUGGCCCUUACGUGUUGGGCUACACACGUGCUACAAUGGUAUCUACAACAGGAAGCAAGACUGCGAAGUUAAGCAAAUCCCUAAAAGAUACCUCAGUUCGGAUUGCACUCUGCAACUCGAGUGCAUGAAGCUGGAAUUACUAGUAAUCGUGGAUCAGCGUGCCACGGUGAAUGCGUUCCCGGGUCUUGUACACACCGCCCGUCACACCAUGGGAGUUGGUUCUACCUUAAGGCAAGGUUUCAAACCCUUGACCACGGUAUAGUCAGCGACUGGGGUGAAGUCGUAACAAGGUAACC